rnacentral:rRNA from 1 species
UACAGAGGUCUCAAGCGUUGUUCGGAUUCAUUGGGCGUAAAGGGUGCGUAGGUGGCGCGGUAAGUCGGGUGUGAAAUUUCGGAGCUUAACUCCGAAACUGCAUUCGAUACUGCCGUGCUUGAGGACUGGAGAGGAGACUGGAAUUUACGGUGUAGCAGUGAAAUGCGCAGAUAUCAGGAGGAACACCGAUGGCGAAGGCAGGUCUCUGGGCCAUAACUGACGCUGAGAAGCGAAAGCAUGGGGAGCGAACAGG